rnacentral:rRNA from 1 species
AACGAACGCUGGCGGCAUGCCUAACACAUGCAAGUCGAACGAGACCUUCGGGUCUAGUGGCGCACGGGUGCGUAACGCGUGGGAACCUGCCCUUAGGUUCGGAAUAACUCCCCGAAAGGGGUGCUAAUACCGGAUAAUGUCUUCGGACCAAAGAUUUAUCGCCUUUGGAUGGGCCCGCGUUGGAUUAGCUAGUUGGUAGGGUAAAAGCCUACCAAGGCGACGAUCCAUAGCUGGUCUGAGAGGAUGAUCAGCCACACUGGGACUGAGACACGGCCCAGACUCGUACGGGAGGCAGCAGUGGGGAAUAUUGGACAAUGGGCGAAAGCCUGAUCCAGCAAUGCCGCGUGAGUGAUGAAGGGCUUAGGGUUGUAAAGCUCUUUUACCCGGGAUGAUAAUGACAGUACCGGGAGAAUAAGCUCCGGCUAACUCCGUG